rnacentral:rRNA from 1 species
UACGGAGGGUGCAAGCGUUAUCCGGAUUCACUGGGUUUAAAGGGUGCGUAGGUGGGUUGGUAAGUCAGUGGUGAAAUCUCCGAGCUUAACUUGGAAACUGCCAUUGAUACUAUCAGUCUCGAAUACUGUGGAGGUCAGCAGAAUAUGUCAUGUAGCGGUGAAAUGCUUAGAUAUGACAUAGAAUACCAAUUGCGAAGGCAGCUGGCUACACAAAUAUUGACACUCAGGCACGAAAGCGUGGGGAUCAAACAGG